AUUGAACGCUGGCGGCAUGCUUUACACAUGCAAGUCGAACGGUAACAGGCCGCAGGGUGCUGACGAGUGGCGAACGGGUGAGUAAUGCAUCGGGACGUGCCCAGUCGUGGGGGAUAACGCAGCGAAAGCUGUGCUAAUACCGCAUACGAUCUAUGGAUGAAAGCGGGGGACCGUAAGGCCUCGCGCGAUUGGAGCGGCCGAUGUCAGGUUAGGUAGUUGGUGGGGUAAAGGCCUACCAAGCCAACGAUCUGUAGCUGGUCUGAGAGGACGACCAGCCACACUGGGACUGAGACACGGCCCAGACUCCCACGGGAGGCAGCAGUGGGGAAUUUUGGACAAUGGGCGCAAGCCUGAUCCAGCAAUGCCGCGUGCAGGAAGAAGGCCUUCGGGUUGUAAACUGCUUUUGUACGGAACGAAACGGUCUGGGUUAAUACCCCGGGCUAAUGACGGUACCGUAAGAAUAAGCACCGGCUAACUACGUGCCAGCCGCCGCAGUAACAC
rnacentral:rRNA from 1 species